CAGCAACAAAUGAAGUUGCAUAUAAUUUUAAAGUGCUUUCCACCUUUCAUCUUUUUAAUAACUAACGUCUAAUCCAUUUAUCGAGGACCAACAAAAAUUCGGUGAGAUUACAGCCUUCCCUGAGCUUUCCAGUCAUCGUGACUGCUGGGAAAGAAGAGAACAGCCACCGCCGGCCUCCGCAGGAAUGCACUACACUCAGCCCAGGAAUUCCCCUACGAACCGCCGGGCGACAGACAGGCAUUUACUUCCGGGAGGAGUCAGCCCUCCGAACCCGGAAGAGGUUAUCCAGUUGUGCCCCGCAGGAGCGCCUGCCCGGGGGAUCUGGGUCAUGCCGUCUGGUUCGUCUUUGAGCAUUCCGACGAGAUGAAAUGUGGCCCAGAGUAGCUCCUGUCACUUCUCCAGCUUUCUGCCUCCUUUUAGAAAAUUGAGUUGAAGAGACAGAGAUGAAGUGGACGCAGCAUGUGAAGACAAUUCUUUCAAGAAGUUUGGCUGUAAAGGAGAAAAAAAAGGUGCUAUAGACCGUAUAAGCACAGAGCAGACAGGCCACCUUUGCUGCCACGUGGAGGCUUGUCUAAAAUGGAGGCUAAAGAAGCCAACCUGGAAGACAGAACCCAAGUCCUGAUGACAGCACUUGAUCCCAGGAAUCCAGACACGCCUAAAGACCAGCUUUACCACUGGACUUUCCGGUUAAAGGAGCCAGUAAACUCUCUUUUAUGCUAAUCUUGGGUUUUAUCUGGGUUUUUGUCGUUUACUAUUCAGAACAUCCUAAUACAUCAUUAAAUCAACAUUAUUUGUUUCUUCUAUGCGUUGUUUAAAUCUGUUACUCUACGAUGUACUCGAUAAUGUAAUCUACAGUUCUCACUAAAUUAAUCCGUAAAUUGAGUGCAAUCCAAACCUUAAUCCCAAUGGUAUUUUAAGAGCUUUUGUUGUUUUGGAACUAAGAAAAAUUACUCCAAAAUUCACUGAGAAAAAACAUUAAAAUACAAGAAAAUAGGGAGAGAAUUCAUAAAAAAGAAUUGUAUAAUCAGAUAGUAAAUAUCAAAAUAGAGAGCAAGAAUAAUAAACGUAGGGUGGUAAUGGAGUAGCAAUAAGCAGUCAUGGAACAGAAUUCAAAGUGUGAGUAUAUGUAGGAGUAUUUGCCAUAUUUAAUAUCUGGUAAGUCAAGAAAAGGUUAAGUAAAUAAAGUAUUUAAGGACAAUGAGCUAGAUUUGAAGGAGAAAAAUAGAUAGGUCUUUACCUUAUUCAUCAUUCCAGAAUAAAUUCCAAAUGGAUUUAUGACUUAAAUAUAAAAAUCGAAGCCAGAUUCUCAAUAUAUAUUGGUUGGUGUAUAACUGGUACACUCUUUAGCAAUAUCUGUUAAAUUUUUAAAUAUAUCUUUUGACACAGCAUUUCAGUUUUAGAAAUUUAUCCUAUAGAAACAAAAUAUACCAUAUAAAGAUAAAUAUGGGGGCUGGCCCCGUGGCCGAGUGGUUAAGUUCGCGCGCUCCGCUGCUGGCGGCUCAGUGUUUCGUUAGUUCGAAUCCUGGGCGCGGACAUGGCACUGCUCAUCAAACCACGCUGAGGCAGCGUCCCACAUGCCACAACUAGAAGGACCCACAACGAAGAAUACACAACUAUGUACCGGGGGGCUUUGGGGAGAAAAAGGAAAAAAUAAAAUCUUUAAAAAAAAAAAAGAUAAAUAUGGAUAAUGUAACAUUGAAAUAUGGAAUAUACGCAUGUGGAGUAACUGAAGUAUGGAGUGUUGGUACCAUGCGUUCUCAAAGGGGCAAUUUCAUAACCAAGGAGGUGAAAAUUGGUUCUUGGGGGGACAGAAAAAAACUUAUUUUUAUGUAUAAAGGACAAAUAUGCAUAAGUACACAAACAGAUACAUAGUUUGUAUGUAGUAUUGAAAUUUCAUGGGGAGGAUGAUUAAGAAAAGAAUGUCUAGAAAGGCUUCUUAGGGGGACGAUAAUGGAAAAAAGACUGAGAAAACUCAUCUAUACAAUUCAUUACCAUGCAGCUGUUAAAAAGAAUGAGGUAGAUGUAUGGAUAUUGAAAAAGAGGAUGCCCAAGAUGUGUGAAGUUUUAAAGAAGCAAAAAGUAUUGCCAUCGAGUUAAUUCUGACUCCUAGUGACCCUGUGGACAGCAGAGCGGAACCCUGCCCGGUCUUUCUGCGCCAUCCUCUCACCUUCUGGUGUUACAUCAGACAAUGCUCUGCUGCUAUUCAUAGGGUUUUCAUGGCCAGUUUUUUUCAGAAGCGAGUGGCCAGGGCCUUCUUCCUAGUCUGUCUUAGUCUGGAAACUCUACUGAAACCUGUCCACCAUGGGUGACCCGCUGGUAUUUGAAAUCCCGAUGGCAUAGCUUUCAGCAUCACAGCAACAAGCAGCCACCACAGCAUGACAACCGACAGUCAGGUGGUGUGGUCCCCUGACUGGGCAGUGACCAGGGCCUCGGCGGUGAGAGCGCCAGAUCUUAACCACAAGACCACCAGGGCUGGCUUAAAAAUUAUCACAAGGAGAAAAAAACAAACAAACACAACCUGCCCCCCCCAACACACACACACACCCCUGUAAUUGAUGUUGAAGCAGGAACCCGAGAACAUAUUUGCAACAUAUAUCACAAAAGCUGUAUGUCCUUACUAUACAAAGAGCUCUAACAUCUCACUAAAAAGGUCCAACACCCUAACAGACAAACCUGGCGAGGAACAUGAACAAGCAAAUAGCACACACACACUACAAAUGGCUGAGCAUGUGGAAAUACUUUUGUUCUUGUUAGUGAAGAAAUACAAAUAAUGGCAACAAUGAGAUAUGUUUUCAUUGGAUUAGCAAAACUACAAAGGUUGGUGUUGGCAGAGAUAGGAGAUAGGGUACUGUCAGAGUAUAAAUCAGUUAGGCCGUUCCAAGUGCAGUGUGGCAACAUGUAUCAAAAUGUGAAAGAUGCAAACCUUUGAAUCAACAGUGAUGCUUCUAGGAAUGUGUCCAAAGGUGAUAAUCAGACAAAUCAGAAAAGACGCAUGUGCAACAAUGUUCAUUACAGUAGUUGUUAAAAAUUGGAAACAACUUAAAGGCUUAUAAAUAAGAGACUAAAUGUAAUUUUGAGCAAAAAAUAGCUUGUUACAAAACAUCGUGAGAAAUGUGAUCCUGUUUAUAUAAAUUACGUGUAAGUACACAUAGAAGUAAUGUUUAACAAAAUGUUAGUAAUGGAAAUCUCUGGUGGGAUUUCAGAUGAGUUUCAAGCUUGUGAAAAAGUGAGAAAAUGGUAUGAACUACUGUGUACCCCACUCAGCUACAAUGCAUGCCCAGUCUUGUUUCAUCUAUGGUCCCACCCCAGUUUUUGAGGCAAAUCUAAGACAGCUUAUCUGUAGAUAGUUUGUGUACCUCUAAAAGAUAAGGAUGCUUUUAAAACAUAAUCUCAAUAUCAUCAUACCUAAAAAACUUCUAACAAUUCCUUCAUAAAAUCAAUUAUAUCUGAUCAGUGUUCACAUUUUUGUCUUAUACAUUGUUUUGUAGUUAGAUCGAGGUCCAUACAUUACCAUUCGUCUGUGUAUUUCCUAAUGUAUAGAUUCUCUCUCUCUCUCUCCCUCUUUUUUCCCCCCUGCAAUUUAUUUGGGGAAGUAACUGUGUUGUUUGAGCUAAAGAGGAGUUUUGAGAGUAGGCCUGACCCUAAUAUUUACAGACCUGGGACCAUAGUGCAAAUGGAGCCCCAAAUACCAUAUAUCUAACUAUUUAAAUGCCUCAGCUCCAGCUAACAGUUCUGUACAUUCUACACUCCUGCCUUGACAAAUAAACCCUCUUAACGACCUGGAAAGCCAAGUUAGAAUUUAGAAUUCUCAGACUUCUUAGAAUUCCUCACUGGAUUGUGCUUCACCGGGGAGCUGGCACUUGGCCCACAGGCCGUCCCAUUCUCUUCCCACCUCUGGCUCCAUACCCUUCUCAAGGACACCCCAGCCCACAAGUCCAAGUUCAAUCUACACCCUGUGCAAACAGGUACCGCUGGAGGCACAGUCCCGCCUUGGAAGGAUGAACCAAAGACCAGGCCCAUGCAGGCUCUGAAAGUAGGCGUGGGGCGUAUAGACUGGGAAGUUCAGGUUCUACGGAGCCAGAGCAUGGUCUGGAAGGGGAGGCGUCAACUCUAGGUGGGCUUGUCCCCUUGGUCCCAUGGACUUCUCAGCCCAUCUGGAGGGCACAGCUAGCAGAGGGUCAGAGCAGGGCCCCUUGCCUGGGUCUAAGGACAGUACUGCCAUAAAGUUCCCCACAGUCCGGGUUUUGCUGAUCACAUCCCCAAGAUAUCAUUAAACAAGUUUCUUUUGUUUUGUUUUGUUUUUUUUAAGAUUUUAUUUUUCCUUUUUCUCUCCAAAGCCCCCCAGUACAUAGUCGUGUAUUUUUAGUUGUGGGUCCUUCUGAUUGUGGCAUGUGGGAUGCCGCCUCAGCAUGGCCUGGUGAGCAGUGCCAUGUCCGCACCCUGGAUCUGAACCGGCGAAACCCUGGGCCACAGAAGCAGAGCGCAGGAACCUAACCACUCAGCCACAGGGCCAGCCCCCUAAACAAGUUUCUUUGUUUCCUCUAUUUCCUAUAAAUUGAUACUUAGAUCUAGAAGUUUGAUCAGAUGAUUCGGGUACAAUGUUUUGGGCAAGACUAUUUUAUAGAUGAGUGUUGUAUACACCCGUCAGGAGGCACAUAAAAUCCUGUUGUCUUUCUUUUUAAUGGGGUUAUAAUUAAGAUAAAGUAAAAUCUUUUUUCCUUUUUUUUUUUUUGUCCCUGAGCUCACAUCUGUGCCAGCCUUCCUCUAUUUUGUAUGCGGGAUGCUGCAACAGUGUGGCUUGAUGAUCCAUGUGUAGGUCUGUGCCCAGGAUCUGAACCCACGAAACCCAGUCCCCCAAAGCAAAGGACACAAACUUAACCACUACGCCACUGGGGCUGGCCCCGAAAUGCACAAAUCUCAACAGUUCAGUUCAAAUAGUUUCAACAAUUGUGUAGAGCCAUGUAGCGUUCUCCCAAAACAAGAUGUAGAAUAUUUCUAUCACCCCAGAAAGUCCUCUCAUGCGUCUUUAGUCAGUUCCACUCCACCUACGGAGUCAACCACCUUCUCACUCCCCUCACUAUGGAGAGUUUUGCCUAUUCUUUGACUUCAUAUAAAUGGAAUCAUACAGUGUGUACUCUUUUGUGUGUACUUUCCUUAAAUUAACAUAAUUUUUCAAUUUAUCUGUGUUGCAUGUAUUAGUACACCAGUUCAUCCUUUUUUAUUGCUGAGUGGUGUUCCAUAUAUGGAUAUACCAUAAUUUGUUCAUUCUCCUCUCUGUGGAUAUUAGGGUAGUUUCCAGUUUGGGGCUAUUAUGAAUAAGGCUGCUAUGAACAUUCUUGUUCACAUCAUCUUGUGGGCAUUUUCAUUUCUUCUGGGUAAAUAUUUAGACAUGGAAAUGAUUGUUUAACUUCAAAAGAAAGAGAUUGUCAAACAGUUCUUCAAAGUGGUUGUAGCAUUUGACAUUUCCAGCAACCAUGUAUGUGAAUUCCAGGUGCUCCACAUCCUCUCCAACAUGGAAUGCUGGCAAUCUGGUUAAUUUCUGGUUGUCUCUCUUUUUGUGCUAUUAGCAGCUAUUGAUUAUCAUUACUUAGAGACAUUAGUUUGUUAGGGUUUCCAAAAUGGUGUUAUUGUAAUUCUAUCAUUUAUUUGCUGAAAUGCUUCUAUGAAGAGGAACUUUCUUCCAACAUCUAUUUGAUUUCCCUGAAAUACAACAGGAAAGACAGGAUUAAUGCUUAAUCCUUUCUCUUUUUUACCAAUUUUCAAAAUAACGUGUUGGUUCUCUCACGUCCAUCAAAGAUUGCCAAUGAAAGGUUUUUUUUAGUAUCAUUAUAAACUCAUGAAUUUAAAUAUAUUUGAUGUGUUUAAUCCAUUUCAGUUAUCAUCCUUACUGAUGCUCAAAGUAUCCAAUCUUUAGCCAGUGGGGAUCUCUUCAGAUUAGCUCCUCAGUUCUUUUCUUUUUUUUAGGAAGAUCAGCCCUGAGCUAACAUCUGCUUCCAAUCCUCCUCUUUUUGCUGAGGAAGACUGGCCCUGAGCUAACAUCUGUGCCCAUCUUCCUCUACUUUAUAUGUGAGACGCCUACCACAGCAUGGCUUGCCAAGCAGUGCCAUGUCGCCACCCAGGAUCCGAAACGGUGAACCCAGGACCGCCGAAGUGGAACGUGUGCACUUAACCACUGCGCCACCCAGCCGGCCCCUUGUAGCUCCUCAGUUCUUUAACACAACCCUCUAAGUCUUUGAUAGCUUCCUUGCCUUCUUAAUGACAGGAUGUUCCAGACUGAUCUUCAAUGUUUCCUACCCCAGACAUGGAAUCAGCCAUUACUCCAAGGGACCCUGGUUCUUUUUAGUGAUAAAUGGUAUUUUUGAGGCCACAGUCUGGUAAGGGUGUUUAUUGCUGCUGGGAGGUUCGUUGUUUCUAGACCUUUGCAGUGGGCAGAGCUAGGAAAUGUGUUGUUUUAAAGAUAUAACACAACAUGAGUUUAUAUUGAUGUGUCCAAUUCAAACUCGAGUACCCCCAUCAGUCUGACAUCUGUAUCUCCCUUCCCCAUGCCUAAAACCCACCAUAAUGGCUCAUUUGCUUUAUCCCACCACGUACAAACAACAGGCUCAGAGUAACAGUCUUGGCACUACCACCACAAUACAAUUACUGAAAACCGUUUUGGGUAUUUUGUGGUCGUUUGGAGGGGGAGGGCAUUUUGUACCUCUUUCUGUUAUUAGGCGACAUUCGGGUAGGAGUGUGCAGGCGAUCACUGUGGUUUUAAGUCACUUGGAAAGGUUCCUCAUGGGUGGCUGUGCCACUAACUCAACACUUAGUUGGGUUAAUUUGUUUAAUUUUGAUUUCAACUUUUAGGGAUUGCAUUUUUAAAUUUAACUUUGUUUUUUAACUAUAUAUAAUAUUUAAAUGGUUCUGAAGUCAGGUCUAUAAAAGAGGGCUAUUAGAGAAAAAUCUAGCUUCUUCGCCUGUCGUGUCUGUGCUGAUCCCUCCCUUGCCAUAUAAAUACCCAUCAUUUUUAUUGUUUCUCCUUCCAUUUUGUAAAUAUAUGUGCAAUUAUAUAUAUUUAUAUAUAAUACAUAUUUUCAUUCUUCCUUUUAAAAUAAAUGGUAUCAUACUAUGCACUCAAUUCACUCAUUUAAAGUGUACAAUUUAAUGGUUUUUAGUGUAUUCACAAAGUUAUGCAACCAUCAUCACAAUUUUAGAACAUUUUAGUUACCCCAAAAAGACACCCUGCAUGCCUUAGUCACCCUUUUCAGUCCCCCAUCCUCCCUAGCGCUAAGCAACCACUGAUCCACUGUCUGUCUCUAGAGAUUUGCCUAUUCUGACUAUUUCAUAUAAAUCAAACAUACAACAUGUGGUCUCUUG
ensembl:lncRNA